UGGGAGUCAGCAACGCCCGAAGCCGGUGACCCAACCUUUCUAGGAGGGAGCCGUCGAAGGCGGGGCCGAUGACUGGGUGAAGUCGUAACAAGGUAGC
rnacentral:rRNA from 1 species